UACGAAGGGGGCGAGCGUUGUUCGGAGUUACUGGGCGUAAAGGGCGCGUAGGCGGCGGACCAAGUUAGGCGUGAAAGCCUCGGGCUCAACCUGAGAAUAGCGCUUAAGACUGGUUUGCUCGAGUGCGGGAGAGGUGAGUGGAAUUCCCAGUGUAGAGGUGAAAUUCGUAGAUAUUGGGAAGAACACCAGUGGCGAAGGCGGCUCACUGGCCCGCAACUGACGCUGAGGCGCGAAAGCGUGGGGAGCAAACAGG
rnacentral:rRNA from 1 species